AACGAAGUGAAUUGAAAUAUCUUAGUAACUUUAGGAAAAGAAAUCAAACGAGAUUGUUAUUUGGUGUCAACUAAAUAACAAAAGCCUAAUAACAAAACUUGUUAAAAGUAAAAUGGAUUAAAAUCUGUUUGAAUAUAGGGGAACCUUCCUCUAAGGCUAAAAAUGAUAUAUAAGCGAUAGUGAAAAGUACCGUGAGGUAAAAUUUGAAAUAGUAAUUUUAUAAGCAGCUCGAGUGAAAUUUAAAUAAAUAAUAAGAGCGUACCUUUUGCAUAAUGGGUCAGCAAGUUAAUUUUAGAUGCAAGCAAUGAUUUUAUGCGCUUUUCGCAUAAAACUAGCUUAGAUAAACCAAUUAUGAAAAAAUGAAUAAGUAUCUAGAAUUAGACCCGAAGGCUAGUGAUCUUACCAUGGUCAGGGUUAUAAAAGCCCGAACGGGUUAUCGUUGUAUAGAUAUCCGAAGAAUUGUGGUAAGUUAGUGAAAGACAAAACUGACUAGUAUAGCUGGUUUUCCGCGAAACCUAUAUGAGUAGGUAAUUUAAUUAACAUCUUAGCAGGUACAGAACUGUGAUCUCGGACAAUAUCUUUUGAUUUUGUCAACAUCGGGGGGUUGUAGUGACUUUACCGGAGAGUAUUUGCACUCGGAAGGGCAAAGAUGAAUGUUGAAUAAUCGGACAUAGUGCGAUAAGGUUGUAUGUCUAAAGGGAAACAGCCCAGAACAAGAGUUAAGGUUCCAAAAUUAUUGUUGAGUGAAAUUAAGGAUGUUUUUGUUUAAUACAAUCAGGAAAUAGGCUUAGAAGCGGCCAUUUUUUGAAGACCUCGUAACAGAGCACUGAUUAAUUUUUUAGAAAAAAACACCGAAAAUUUAACGGAUCUAAACAAUAUACCGAAACCUUGUACACAUUAAUAUAAUAAUAAUAUUGUAUAUGUGGGGUAGCGGAACAUUGGAUAAAUAUUAAUUAUUAUUUCUUAUUUAAGAAAUAAUAAAUAUGGAUUAUUAAUAAACUAAAUAAAAUUAAAUUAAUCCAUUAAUAUAAUCCAAGAGAGAAUGCUGACAUGAGUAACGAAAAAGGAAUAUCCUCGCCUUAAGCUUAUGGUAUUUUAUUUAAUUUUCGGUAUCUAAAUAUAUUAAUCAAAAGGUAAUUUUGAUGAUAUUUUUAUAAAAAAUACUUAAUAGUAAAAAACAAAACCUUUAAUAAGUAAUAAAGGUUCUGGAAAAUUUUUUACUUAAAAUAAAAUAUAUGUAAACUAAUAGUCUUAUGAAUAAAGCUCAAUAUGUUAUAUUGUAUUUACUAUCUAAUUUCUUGUUACAAGUUUUCAAGAUUACAUAGUUUAAAUAGAAUGUAAUAGAGUUUUAUAAAAAAAAAAGAUAUAUUUUAUUUUUAUAUUUUACAUUAUUGUAUAUAUUAAGACUAUUAUACAAAUAUAUAAUGUAAAUAUAAUAAGGUUUUUCUAUAUACCGUACCUAGAUACUAUCACAAGUAAGCAAGUAGAGAAUACAAAGGCGUUUGAGUGAACAAUCAUUAAGGAACUCGGCAAAUUGACUACCGUAACUUCGGGAUAAGGAGGGCCAUUAUCAUUAGUUUAACAUACCUUACAGGUAUGAUUUAAUUAAAUUAAGGAUAAGAGGAAACAUAAAAUAAUGUUGUACGACUGUUUAAUAAAAACACAGCACUCUGCAAAGAUAAAAUAUCAAAGUAUUGAGUGUGAUGUCUGCCCAAUGUCGGCUGGAUAACGGAUUUACCUUGGUUUUUAACUGAGGUUUUGAAGGAUACCCCGAUUAAUGGCGGCCUUACCUAUGAGGGUCCUAAGGUAGCGAAAUACCUUGGCCGUUAAAUGCGGUCCUGCAUGAAUGACUUAACGAUACAACAGCUGUCUCGAUGAUUGUCUCAGUGAAAUUGGAAUAGCAGUGCAGAUACUGUUUACCUCUAGAUAGACGAGAAGACCCUAUGCAGCUUUACUGUUACUAAUUGCAAGAGUGAAAAUUUAGGAUAAUUUCGAGUGUAUAAGGUAGUUGUCUGAUAGCAAUGAAACACCUUUAUUUGUUUCCUAUUAUAUGCUCUUGAGGAUUAGAAGGCAGUUUAUGCGGGGCACAGAUCCCACAAAAAGUACCUGGGUAUAUCCAAAGUUCAUAUUGUAAAUUUGUAAAUUUCUUUACAAAUAUUUUAAUUUGUUAUAAUUAUAUUUAUAAUUAUACAGUUAUUGUUAGAUUAAAUUCAAUAUGUAUUUUUUAUUUAAGUAAGAUUUUAACUAUAUGGUGAAUAGAUGUAUUUUAAACUUUAAUAUUUAAAAGUUUUUUCUCAUAUUAAUAUUGUAUUUUUUACCUUUAUUAAUAUGAUAAUUAAUUAUACUUUAAAAGUUUAAUGGCUAAAUCUUGCUUUACUGUUUGACCUACAAGUCUAUCAGUCGCGUAAGCGGGGCAUAUGAUCACAAGAUGCAUUAAGGAAAGGUCUUGGAUUAUAGAAAAAGUUACGCUAGGGAUUUAUAACUGUGAGUCCUCCAAUAUUAUAAAAUAUUGGUAAUAUAUUGGGUAAAUUUCAAAGACAACUUAAAAUAAUUUAAGUGUAUUUGAAGCGAAACUUAUUUUAGCAAUUAGCAGUAUUAAUCACUGCUAAAUUUAUCUAUAUUAUAAGAUAAAAUAAAAUAAGGACGUUCAACGACUAAAAGGUGAGUAUUGCUAACAAUAAUCCUUUUUUUAACGCCCAACAUCUUUAUUAACUAUUAAUAUAUUAUUUGUAUAAUUAUUAUUAUUAUUUUGUAAUAAUAAUGAAAUAGACUUGGUUAUUGACCAGGCUUAAAUAUUAUAUAAUUAAUUUUUUAAUUAUAUUAAUAUCUUAAUCUAUGUAUAAAAUAUGCUAAAUAUUAUAAAAUCAAAAUUAAAAAAUACAUAUAAGAAAAAAUCAUUAAAUAGUUUAAAUGUUGUUAUUCGUAAUAAAGAUUUUGUUCCUGCUGUAAGAGAUUGAAAAAAUAGUAUUUAUCUUUAUAACAAAAAUGCAUUAAGUUUAAUACCUGUUGCAAGCAGAUUAGUAAUGAAAUUAAUUAAAGGUUAUUUUAAUUCAUACAAUUGAAAAAUUGAAAAACAAUUAAGAAAAGAAAGAUUACGUCGUAGAUUAAGAAAAUUAUCUACAAACAGAAUCUUUGUUAGUGAUGGUGAAUUUAAACAUACUAAUGAUAAAGUAAAUAUUACAUUAUAUGUAUAUAAUAGACAAAAACUUAAUUACUUAUUAAAAUUAAAAAAAAGAUAUACAAGAUUGUUUAAAAGAGUUAAAUUUGUAAGAAAAUUACAGUUAAUAAGAAAUAUAGGAUUGAAUAUUUUAAAAAAACAACAAGAAAAAAGUAAAAUAUUAACAAAUGUUUUACCUAAUUAUAGUUCAAAAAUAUCUAUAAUUCAAAAUUUUUACUAUAAAAAAUUUAUAGUAAAAUCUUUUAGAAGAUUAAAAUACUAUAUGUUUUAUAAACAAUUACUUUAUAUCAAUAAAGCUAAAUUUGAAAAUUCAUAUUUACAAGGUUUAAUUAAUUUAAUAAGAAAAAUAUAUAAAAAAAAUGUAGAAUUUAAUAUUAUUAAUUUAAAAUACUUUUAUUUUAAUAGUGAUAUUUUUACACAACCAUUAGUAUUAAAAUUAAGAAGAAAAAGAAAACUAUUAAGAUAUCUUAAAGCUUUAGUAAGAAAAGCAAAAAUUAAAAAAAUUAAAUUAAAUGAAAGAUCUAAAUAUUUCUUUGAAUUAAAUAAUUUAUUUACUGUAAAUAAUCUUGAUACUACUAAUAAUUUACUUAAUAAUUUAAUAGAGGAAAAUAAAACAAGUUCAAAAUAUCUUAAAAAAAUAGUAUUAAAUAAUAUUAAAUAUAAAAGAGUAUCAGGUGUUAGAAUAGAAGCUGCAGGUAGAUUAACUAGACGUUAUACUGCUUCAAGAUCUCAACAUAAAGUUAGAUAUAAAGGUAAUUUAGUAAAUGCCUAUUCUUCUAUUAAAGGUUAUCCUUCAUCUGUAAUAAGAGGAAAUUAUAAACCUAAUUUACAAUAUACUAAAUUAAAUUCUAAAUCUCGUAUUGGAUCUUUUGGAGUUAAAGGUUGAGUAAGUGGUACUUAAUUAACUUUUUUAAUCAUUCCUCCUCCUAUAAAAUAGUUAAUAAAGAUGAUGAAAUAGUCUGAACCAUUUUGAGAAAAGUGGAAAUAAAAGGAAAAACCUUUUAUGAUAACAUAAAUUGAACAGGCUAAUUUGCGCAAGAGAGUACAAAUUGAGUGCGCGGUUUGGCACCUCGAUGUCGGCUUAGCUCAUCCACAUGAAUGCAAAAAUCAUGAAGGGUUCGACUGUUCGUCGAUUAAAGAGCUACAUGAGCUGGGUUUAAUACGUCGUGAGACAGUAUGGUUUCUAUCUUCUAGAGGGAAUUAAAGUAUAAUAAAGAUAGCCCCUUCGUACGAAAGGAGUUGGGUAUAUUGACCUAUGGUUUACCUGUUGUUUAUGCUAUAUAUUAUAUAUUAUAUACUAUAUAAUAUAUCGUUUACUUAUACUUAAGUAAAUUGUUCACAUAGGCAUGGCAGGAAGGCUACGUCAGUUAAAGAUAAGUGCUGAAAGCAUUUAAGCGCGAAGCUUACUUUAGGAUACUUUUAAACGUAGUAGAACACUACGA
rnacentral:rRNA from 1 species